UACAGAGGGUGCAAGCGUUGUUCGGAAUUAUUGGGCGUAAAGGGUGCGUAGGUGGCGGGGUAAGUCUGGUGUGAAAUCUCGGGGCUCAACCCCGAAACUGCACUGGAUACUGCCUUGCUCGAGUACUGGAGAGGAGAUUGGAAUUUACGGUGUAGCAGUGAAAUGCGUAGAUAUCGUAAGGAAGACCAGUGGCGAAGGCGAAUCUCUGGACAGUUACUGACACUGAGGCACGAAGGCCAGGGGAGCAAACGGG
rnacentral:rRNA from 1 species